GAUGAACGCUGGCGGCGUGCUUAACACAUGCAAGUCGAACGGUGAAGGCGGAGCUUGCUCUGCUGGAUCAGUGGCGAACGGGUGAGUAACACGUGAGCAAUCUGCCCCUGACUCUGGGAUAAGCGCUGGAAACGGCGUCUAAUACUGGAUACGAGCUGCGAAGGCAUCUUCAGCAGCUGGAAAGAACUUCGGUCAGGGAUGAGCUCGCGGCCUAUCAGCUUGUUGGUGAGGUAACGGCUCACCAAGGCGUCGACGGGUAGCCGGCCUGAGAGGGUGACCGGCCACACUGGGACUGAGACACGGCCCAGACUCCUACGGGAGGCAGCAGUGGGGAAUAUUGCACAAUGGGCGAAAGCCUGAUGCAGCAACGCCGCGUGAGGGACGACGGCCUUCGGGUUGUAACCCUCUUUUAGCAGGGAAGAAGCGAAAGUGACGGUACCUUCAGAAAAAGCGCCGGCUAACUACGUG
rnacentral:rRNA from 1 species